rnacentral:lncRNA from 1 species
AUACCCCGCUCAACUUGACGCCUAAAGCAGCCGCUUCCAGGCCUGGGGUUUCGGAUAGGCCAAGCCGGCUGCUGCCGACCCGCACGCCGCCCCGGGCCCCGGCUCCUCUCUAGGCGGUGGCCGCGCCGUCGCCUGCUCGGCUGCGGGAUGCUUGCUCCCAAGGUCCCAGGCGUCCAGGUUGAUCGCCAGCCCCUUACCCUGGUGAGGGAGGCCUUGCGCCCUGCAGAAGCCCCGGGCCCUGCGGCGGCGGCGGCGGCAUCCUCCUGGUCGCCUCCUCGCUUUCCUCCACCCGAGCUCCGCCGGCUGCUCCUUGGGAGGAAGGGGACUCGCUAGACCAGGCCGAGGCCCAGCCUCAGAAGUCAGCAUUUUCAAGACCUGGCAUCCGCAGCGUUUCUGACGCGGGGACUUCUCUCUUCGGCUCUGAGGUCUCCGCGCGCAGAACCCAUGGCAGCUUUUGGUCUUACGCGUGGCUGUGAGCUGGGCUCACGCUGCGUGGCGCAUCCACCCCUCGAUUGACGCGCGGAGAAGCAUUUUUCAUUUUUUCUUUCAGCUUCCCUGAUUUCAAACAAACAUCAGAUUUAAGAAGGUGAGGACUCCAAAGAAGAUCCAAACGCGAGACCAGGAAGAUUCACGUUUCCACUACUUCUUCCAAUACAUUUCACUAAUCUUUCUA